UAACGUUAUUCUCAAAGAGAGGAGGAAAACUGGGUGUCUCGGUGUCAUUUCUAUUCAUAGAAGAGAAUGGUUUUGUUCCCUUGACUUAAGUGUCUGUUUUAUUCCAUUUGAAAACAGUGCGUCUUAGAAAAGAACUCUUUGCCUCGGUUUCUUCUUUGUGAAAUGAAGUGUUUGUACUAUGAGACGGUUUGUUAAAAGCUUACUCAGUCUAUGAUUAAUGAAGGACCGCCUACCUAUAAAUAGAAUAUGUAAUUUGCAGCAUGUUUUUCUAGUAGGGGAUGCCUGGGCUCUUUUUAAUAAUAUUUUAUGAUGUUUAGAAAAGCAGGCACCGUCUCAGCAACUGUGCCCAGCAGCAGUGGGCUUUGAGGUCUGCUAUGUCAUGUAAGGAGUGACAUAUGGAACGUGCUGGAAAGUGCUGCCCUAAAAUCACAUUUCAUUUUCAGCAAGCAGUGGGGAGUGGGAAAGGGAAAGUGAGUGGAGGAAAAGAAAGAAAUCUGUUAGCGCAGAUCCAAAUAUCCCCUAGAAUCGAAAUGUCAGACUUGAAAAUACCAAGUGAACCAGCUUGUCUAAUAUGUUACCAUCCUGGCUUAUAAUUACCGGAAAGUAGUUAUUUAUCUGUUGUGUUCAGCUACCCUGUCAGUACUCCUGAGUUUAAUUAUCAGACUUCACUGAAAGUUCAAUUUCCUCGGUUCCCUCCUCUUUUUUGCAACAAAAUACAUCGGAAUUUCUUCAUGGUUUCUGUUAACUGUUUUGGCACACCUUCUCUCACAUCCCCCCUCCCCCCACCAACGGGCAGCCUGCUCCCUCCUUUCUCAAAGCAGGCAGCUGUUUGGCGCAGUUUCAAUCCCCACAAGCGUGACUGCUUGGUAUAUCAAAGUUCACAGCCUCUUGUCCAUCAACUCGGUGAGAAGGAGAAGCCUCUCCAAGAGGCUGUUUGCUAGCUAGCUUCAGCUCCGUGGAACACAAGGACUUCAAGCGUCUGCCUGUGGUGGUCCAGCCCAGCCAGGGAAUUCUAAGCCGCUCCAAAUAAGGGGCCCCUGGAAGUAAAACCAACAGUUCUUACCAUGCCCUCCCCUCUUCUCCUCCAGGGCAAGGGAUCCUUCCCGUGAAAAGGAUCUUGUUCUGGGUGUGAGUCUUCCAUGAAGUCCGCUUGUAGAAACAGCCUUGACUGUGAGACAUAAGAGCUUGUGGUGAGACCGAAUCCAGCCCUGAGGAGAAACGUGGUUACUUGGGGCAAGCUAUCAUUACGAGGUCUGCUGAGAAUCUGAACUCAUCUUGUGGAAAGCAUCCUACAGAGAAGUAAAUAAUCAGACGGUAGCGAUGUUUGUUGAUGUUUAUUCGUAGUUGGGCUCCACAGCAACUGAAAUCUUCUCUUUGUCGGUUUCUCGGCGUCUGAGGUAUGAUCGUCUCCAUCACCAAAGGCUAGUGGCAGUCAAUGAGCAUAGACUUUGAAAUCCCAGCUCUGCCACUGACCGUCUCUGGGACCUUGGACAAAUCACCUGACUCUUGUCAUGGCCUCGGUAUUCUCCAGAGAGCGAAAUAAAUAAAAGGUCCAACCUUGUGGGGAUGUUAGGUAUCAUAAUAUAUAAAUGUAUUAUAUGCUGGAUAUUUAGAACAGUGUCUCACACAUAGUAAAUGCUAGGAAGGGUCAGGUACAGCUAUUAUUAUUAUUAUUAUUAUUAUAUAGUAUUUCGUUUUCUGUACUGUUUCCCCUUCCCCAUAAUUCCUGGCAUAUUGCCUUAAUUUAUUCAGAGUAAGCUUUCAAUAAAUACAGAUUGAUUAAUAA